rnacentral:rRNA from 1 species
UACGAAGGGUGCAAACGUUGCUCGGAAUUAUUGGGCGUAAAGCGCACGUAGGCGGCUUUGCAAGUCGGAUGUGAAAUCCCUCGGCUCAACCAAGGAAGUGCAUCCGAAACUGCAGAGCUUGAGUACCAAAGAGGAUCGCGGAAUUCCCGGUGUAGAGGUGAAAUUCGUAGAUAUCGGGAGGAACACCAGUGGCGAAGGCGGCGAUCUGGGCCGAUACUGACGCUGAGGAGCGAAAGCGUGGGGAGCGAACAGG